rnacentral:rRNA from 1 species
AACGAACGCUGGCGGCAGGCUUAACACAUGCAAGUCGAGCGCCCCGCAAGGGGAGCGGCAGACGGGUGAGUAACGCGUGGGAACGUACCCUUUGCUGCGGAAUAGCUCCGGGAAACUGGAAUUAAUACUGCAUGUGCCCUACGGGGGAAAGAUUUAUCGGCAAAGGAUCGGCCCGCGUUGGAUUAGCUAGUUGGUGGGGUAAUGGCCUACCAAGGCGACGAUCCAUAGCUGGUCUGAGAGGAUGAUCAGCCACAUUGGGACUGAGACACGGCCCAAACUCCUACGGGAGGCAGCAGUGGGGAAUAUUGGACAAUGGGCGCAAGCCUGAUCCAGCCAUGCCGCGUGAGUGAUGAAGGCCUUAGGGUUGUAAAGCUCUUUCACCGGAGAAGAUAAUGACGGUAUCCGGAGAAGAAGCCCCGGCUAACUUCGUGCCAGCCGCCGCAGUAACAC